AGCAGCCGCGGUAAUUCCAGCUCCAAUAGCGUAUAUUAAAGUUGUUGCAGUUAAAAAGCUCGUAGUUGAAUUUCGGGAUUGACGUGAUGGUCAUGCCUUAAGGGGUAUGAACUGUUACAGUUGAUUUCUCACCUUCUGGAGAAACUUGAUGUCCUUUAUUGGGUGUCUUGCGGAUCCAGGACCUUUUACCUUGAAAAAUUAGAGUGUUUAAAGCAGGCAUUUUUGCUCGAAUACAUUAGCAUGGAUAAUAGAAUAGGACGGCAUGGUUCUAUUUUGUUGGUUUCUAGGAUCACCGUAAUGAUUAAUAGGGAUAGUU
rnacentral:rRNA from 1 species